AAGGAGAGAUUUCCACAGAUUUUUGUUAUCACAAGAUUCAAGAACAUUACAGUAAAGAAUGCUUCUAGAGAAGUUGAGGUAGGAGGGAGUGGCAUGUGGAUGUUUUACGAAAUUUUAAUCACUGGGAGGUUUAUGAUUAUGAGUUCCUUUUAGGAUCACUUCCUUCUGUAGCUCUGGUGGAGAGUGAUAACCACCUAACAAUAUAGAGAAAUAGAGGAAAGUAAAGGAAGAGAAUUGAAAAAUUGAUAGAUAGAGGGAAAAUGGAAUGAAGAUGAAGACUUUGGAGGGAGAAAAGAAAAAUAUUAGGCAAAAAAUGAAAAAUAAAGAGAGAAAAAUACAAGUUAGAAAUGUGACAUAAUUCAACUAGAACAUUAUCAAUUCCAAGCUUAACAUAAACAGUUGAUUAGAAACCUUGAUACAGGUUCCAACCUUACCUAAAACAGAAACNNN
rnacentral:lncRNA from 1 species